AGCCCCGCCCCCCUCAUCCAAGAUGUCGGAGCUGCGGGAGCGCGCGCUGCCAGCUUUGCUGAGUCUUUGUGGGGGAACUGGAGAGAAACUUCUUGACGUUUUCUGGUUUUUAUCGAGCUGAGCUCCAUACCUGACAGAAAUGGUAAAAGUUUGGAAACGAAAUGGACUUCUCUUUGAAUAAACAUCUGACUGCUGCUGGAUGUGAAAAGGUCAUCUUGGACUUCUGGACUGGUUUGCUCCACCUAACAAAAGUGUGACCUCUGACAAGUCGUAUUCUGAACGGAUGUGGCAGCGCUGCAUGAUGGGAGGACAGCGCAGGCGAUGCUGUGGAAUGAAGGUGGCGUGACGCUAAAGAUGGAUGGGUGACAACAUGAAUGGAGGAAAUCCAGACUGGAAGUCUGCUGUCAGGGUGCAGGUCCCACAGGACGGCGAUCAUGGCGAGCAUCUUCAGGUUGGACCAACAUCUCAACACGACAUUGACACUGAGAGCGGCUCUGACCUCCGUAAACUCUGAUGUGAGGCGGGAGCGUGUUACAGCCCAGACCCUCUGAACCCUAGAGUCUCAUGCCGAGUCCUGAGCCGAGUCCCCCCCGCUCAGUCUUGGGUCCCAGCUCUGGCCUUCAGGUGCUGAACCCUCAGCAGGUAAGUGGCCGCCUGCACUCCUGUUGCCCACAGAGCAGUCUGCUUGGACUAAUGAGGUCCCUGGGUGCAUGCGGCCCGCUGACUCAGUCCGGUCUUUCUUGUGGGGUGCUGUGAUCUUGCGUCUGUUAUGAUGCAACCACUCAGUUCUGCAAGAACAUGUUUCUCAGAUGGACUCUCAGUGACUGAGGUUCCUUAAAAAAUUCUAUAGAGUAGUGGUGAUGAUUUAUGUCAAUUUUCUUUCCUCAGCUUCCUAAUAUCUUCAAAUAUCUGAUCCCACAAACUCGCUGCUGUCUGUGAAGUCUUCAGGUCCAUCCACUCUCGGGUUUAUGACCCAUACCAGGGGUGGGCAAACUAUGUCCUGGGGGCCCGAUGGCCGAUGGCAAAAGAUCAAUGGACUAAACUGCACAAAAUGUAAUUUAUGGAUCAAAUCUGAGUCCACCGCCUCUGUUUUGAUGUUUCAAAUUCCCUGCUGGACACUUGCGCGUUCGUAAACCUGACGCCAUGUGUGGGAGGAGCUACCGUCAAGUUUUUCUCAACCAAACCUCAUCGCUACAUCACUGAAGACUUAUGUUGAGAGAUCAGACUUCUAUAUUUUUUUAUUUUGAAGAGCUCUACAAAAGCAUUUGUAAGCAUGUCUACAUGUCUGGGUUCAUUCAUUCAAUAAUCUCUCAUCUGUAUGUAACAAACUGCCAAAUGACCACAGGUGCUGUGAUUCACCACAAACUACAAUAAUAUUGGAUUUUCUUCAGAGCAAAAGCAGCUCUGAAGAGCGAUGAAGUGUCUUCCCAACAGAUCCUGUUAAAUUUUCAUUAAAUGCAGAUUCUAAUGGUAAUGAAUAA